GGGUGCGUAACGCGUGAGCAACUUGCCCUCAUCAGGGGAAUAAUCGCUGGAAACGGCGUCUAAUGCCCCAUGGUGAUGUCCUCAGGCAUCUGAGGUCAUCUAAAGAUCCGUCGGAUGGGGAUAGGCUCGCGUGACAUUAGCUAGACGGCGGGGUAACGGCCCACCGUGGCGACGAUGUCUAGGGGUUCUGAGAGGAAGGUCCCCCACACUGGAACUGAGACACGGUCCAGACUCCUACGGGAGGCAGCAGUGAGGAAUAUUGGUCAAUGGCCGGAAGGCUGAACCAGCCAUGCCGCGUGAAGGUCAGUGCCCUAUGGGCGUUAAACUUCUUUUGUGCGGGAGCAAUAAUGGUCACGUGUGGCCAGACGAGAGUACCGUACGAAUAAGCAUCGGCUAACUCCGUGCCAGCAGCCGCGGUAAUACGGGGGAUGCGAGCGUUAUCCGGAUUUAUUGGGUUUAAAGGGUGCGUAGGCGGCGCUUCAGGUCAGCGGUGAAAUACCGGGGCUCAACCCCGGGGCUGCCGUUGAAACCGGAGCGCUAGAAUUCCGAUGCCGUCGGAGGAAUGUGUGGUGUAGCGGUGAAAUGCAUAGAUAUCACACAGAACACCGAUUGCGAAGGCAUCUGACGAAUCGGAGAUUGACGCUGAUGCGCGAAAGCGUGGGUAUCGAACAGGAUUAGAUACCCUGGUAG
rnacentral:rRNA from 1 species